ACACACACAGCCUUCUCUCUUUUCUCACUCUCCUUCACCCUUAUUCUGCACUCCCAGGGUCCCAAUGCGGCAAGUGUCCCCCUAAGGAUACCUCCCUGACACCUUUGGACAGUGCCCAGAGGAAAGUCAGCCUAUGGCUUGGGCUGAACCUGCAGAACACAGGUGGCAGAGGACAAGCCCAGGAGGAUCAGCAUCAAGGUGAGGCUGAGCACAGGUCUUGGAGUCAGACUGGCCUGGCUUUGCAUCUAGGCCUUCCCCUUCUUAGCUGGGAAAUCAGUUGACGUCAAGUCACCUAUAAAAUGGGCAUCAUUGUCUCCACCUAUGCUGAGGAUUCAGUGAGAUAGUGCAGCAAAGCGCUUUGCCCAUAGGGAGUGCCCCCACCAGGGAGCUGCUAGCACUGAUGUAUGGGGAGCACCAGUGGGAAAAGGGGAAAGUUCAAGGGUGAGCUGAAAAGAGACUGCGAUGAGGGGAGGAGAGCAAAGGCUAUGGCCACAGCCAGAGGCCAGCUUAGCCCUAUCCUGGACGCUCUUAGGCAGCCCCUUUGGCUGGAUCUUCAAGGCCUGGUCAGGACGCAAGCCCACCCUGCCAACCCCUAUGGAGAAGAGUACAGCUCCUUCCUCAGGCAGCUGCAGAAGUGCAGAGGGUCAGAGAUCACCAGGCACAACCCCCUUACGGGCACCACGGUGAGGAAACUGGGACUUGGGGAAGAGGAAUUGACUUGCCCAAGGUCACGCAGAGUGGAGCCUGGUCUCUCCUAAGCCCUAAGUCAGAUGGUGGGGGUAGGAGCAAAUGUAAGGGGUCGAACCUUGCUUUCAGAUCCCAGCUCUGCCACUUCGUAGCUGAACAGCCUGGGAUUCACUGUCUUGCCUCUCUGAGCCUACACCUCCUCACCUGACCUGCCUUGUAGAGUUGUGUGUUAAAAUGUUUAUUUUCUUUCAUGCCUCACAAGAGGAAAUCUGGAAAAUGUAGACAAAUUGAAAGAAAAGGAGGACCGGGCGUGGUGGCUCACGCUUGUAAUCCCAGCACUUUGGGAGGCCAAGGCGGGUGGAUCACCUGAGGUCAGGAGUUCGAAGCUAGCCUGGCCAACAUGGUGAAACCCCAUCUCUACUAAAAAUACAAAAAGUAAUCCCAGCUACUUGGGAGGCUGAGACAGGAGAAUCAUUUGAACCUGGGAGGUGGAGUUUGCAGUGAGCAGAGAUGGCGCUAUUGCAAGCCAGCCUGGGCAGAGCUUCCUGCAGGCGUGAAAGAGAAUGAUGCCAUGCGCCUGGCCAGAGGAGGCAUGCGAUAAAGGGGCAUUCCCUGAGCCUUCCUCAGAGGACUUGGAAAGAGCUCUGGACAGGGAGCCAGGAGAUCUGGGUUGUGGCCUUCAUUCUGCCAUUGAACUUGGUUGCCAUCCUUGGACAGUGCCUGAGGUCCCUUUAAACAGAAGCUCCACAACAAAUCCUGCUCACCCUGCACUUUGCAGCCCGGCCACAAAGCAAGCGGCCACACCCAGGGUUGGGUUUGGAGCUGUUCCAGGUCACGCCCUUGUAAAAUGAGUAAGCAGAGGGCAGGCCUGCCCACGGGGCUGGGCCCCGGGCAUCUGGGGAUUGACAGGAGCGGGAGCUCUGGGCCUGGCAGGGCUUUAGGGUGGUCUGCUGCAAGGAGACUCCCCUGCUUCUUCACUUGUGACCCAGGCAAGUGACUUCCUUUCUUUGCUCAGUUUCCUUAUCUGCAAGGUGCCUCAUUCUGGACAUCCUGACCAAGAUAAUGAACGUGAAGAGUGCCAAGCAGUGUCUGGCACACGAGAGGCACUCAGUAAAAGAGAGACCUUCUUGCUAAGAUCACUGAGCCCUUCUGGGAGGGAGGUACAGACAGAUGUACUUGGGCUCCUCUGGGAGGGUUCAAAGCAGUGUAAAACCACAGCUGUUACUGAAACUUCCAGUCUGAAAGCAGCUGGCCAGAGGAGAGUGGGCCUGCCGCAAAGCUCCCUUCCCUGGGGGGAGCUCAGCUCCUAAGUUAGGCAGUAUUAAAAAAAGUCAAGGCUACAUAGAGAAGAGCCUGCUGCCUGACCAGGUGCAUUAGAGUAGCUAGCUCAUGCCUGUAAUCCCAGCACUUUGGGAGGCUGAGGCAAGAGGAUUGCUUGAGCCCAGGAGUUUGAGACCAGCCUGGGGAACAUAGGGAGACCCCUGUCUCUAC
rnacentral:lncRNA from 1 species